GACGAACGCUGGCGGCGUGCUUAACACAUGCAAGUCGAACGGAAAGGCCCUGCGUUUGUGGGGUGCUCGAGUGGCGAACGGGUGAGUAACACGUGAGUAACCUGCCCUUGACUUUGGGAUAACUUCAGGAAACUGGGGCUAAUACCGGAUAGGAGCUCCUGCUGCAUGGUGGGGGUUGGAAAGUUUCGGCGGUUGGGGAUGGACUCGCGGCUUAUCAGCUUGUUGGUGGGGUAGUGGUUUACCAAGGCUUUGACGGGUAGCCGGCCUGAGAGGGUGACCGGCCACAUUGGGCCUGAGAUACGGCCCAGACUCCUACGGGAGGCAGCAGUGGGGAAUAUUGCACAAUGGGCGGAAGCCUGAUGCAGCAACGCCGCGUGCGGGAUGACGGCCUUCGGGUUGUAAACCGCUUUCGCCUGUGACGAAGCGUGAGUGACGGUAAUGGGUAAAGAAGCACCGGCUAACUACGUG
rnacentral:rRNA from 1 species